UCUGGUUGAUCCUGCCAGUAUUUAUAUGCUUGUCUCAAAGAUUAAGCCAUGCAUGUCUAAGUACAAACAAAUUAAAAGUGAAACCGCAAAAAGCUCAUUACAUCAGUUAUGGUUCCAUAGAUCGUUAACAGUUACUCGGAUAACUGUGGUAAUUCUAGAGCUAAUCGAGGUAAAAUAAACACGGACCUUUUGGAACGUGUGCUUUUAUUAGGCUAAAACCAAGCGAUCAUUCGAUCGUUAUAUUGGUUGAACUCUAGAUAACUUGCAGAUCGGAUGGUCUCGUACCGACGACAGAUCUUUUAAAUGUCUGCCCUAUCAACUUUUGAUGGUAGUAUCUAUCACUACCAUGGUUGCAACGGAUAACGGGGAAUCAAGAUUCGAUUCCGGAGAGGGAACCUGAGAAAAGGCUACCACAUCUAAGAAAGGCAGCGGGCACGUAAAUGACCCACUCCCAGUUCGGGGAGGUAGUGACGAAAAAUAACAAUACAGGACUCAUAUUCGAUGCCCUGUAAUUGGAAUGAGUACACUUUGAAUCCUUUAACAAGGACCUAUUGGAGGGUAAGUCUGGUGCCAGCAGCUGCGGUAAUGCCAGCUCCAAUAGCGUAUAUUAAAGUUGUUGCGGUUAAAGCGUUCGUUGAAGUUUUGCCUCAUAUGAGUAGUACAACUAUAACUGUGGUAUGUACAUUACCUUAUGAAUGUAAGCGUAUUACCGGUGGAGUUCUUAUAUAUAAUUAAUAUAAUGUAUUUUUCCAAAAGUUUGGGUUCAAAACUACAAUUAAUUGAAAGAUGUUUUAAACUUUAAUUAUUAUAAAUAUAUAUAUACUUUUUUAAAAUUUAUUAUUGAUUAAUUUGUAUUCUUUCAAUAAAUUAAAAAUCCUUGACUUUGAAUCAAAAAAAUACAAAAAAUUAUUCCUCUAAGCAGUGGAUCACUCGGCUCAUAGGUCGAUAAAGAACGCAGCAAACUGUGCGUCAUCGUGUGAGCUGCAGGACACAUGAACAUCGACAUUUUGAACGCAUAUUGAGGUCCCUGCUGUUAUGUACAAUACUUUAAUUAACUUAAAAGUGCUGAUUGGACUAGAUUUCGUUUAGGGUUGUAAGACUAUGCUAAAUUAGUGGCUUAUUCUUUCGUCAAUUAACUUAAAUUCUGUUAAUUCCGGUUUUUUUAAAUGUUUAAAGGCUCAAGUUUUUCUGUUUUUCAAUUUAUGUAACUCUUUCGAAAACCUUGGACUUCUACUUUUAUUCAAAUUAAUUGGCUUUUAGCUUAUUAACAUAGAAUAAUUACUGAUGAUUUGAUAAAGUUUUGAGAGAUUUUAUUAUAUUAUAUGAUAUAUUGAUAAACUGUUGAGUAUCAAGUGCUUUGAAUAUCAUGAAAUUGAAACUGAACGAAUUCUAAGUAAUGGUGACAUUGAAAAGGUUUUAGUACAGGAUCAUUCAUAUAAAAGAGAACAUGUAGAAAUAAUUGAUGUUAAAAACUAUAUACAAAUAUAAUAUAUAAUAUGGUCGUUGUAUAACGUAUGUUAGUCGUAUGUAUAUGGGAAAAAAAAGUUAAAAUUGACUAAUUUAAUCAAAAUUCUACACCUGUUGUAUUUAAGUUAUGGAACAAGCUACAACUAUAAUCAAUUUAUGAACAAACAUCAAAAUAUAAGCAGCUUUUUGAAAUUUUUAAAAUAGUAAACUGGCUAGUUUUGAAUACAAUAUUUCAAACACUUCUUUACGAUUAAAAAUAAAUGUAACAAUAUAAUUGAUAGAUAAGAAUCUUCCUGAGCAGAACCGAUCAUUAUUAAAAACAACAACAACAACGCAAUGUCCUUGGGAAUAUUUUAAACCUAAUUACUCCGAUCAAAGAAAUGAGUCGUAUAAUGCGAAAAGAAGUGUAUACACUAUACUCGUUGCUAUUGACACUUUUAAAAAGAUUUAGUUGAGAAGGAAAAGAGAAUUGGAGGUAUUUUUGAGAGUCCAAUUGUUUUCCAUCGACAUUUCAAUUUAGUUUACGAUAAUUGUAAAAUUCGAAUUAAAUUCUC
rnacentral:rRNA from 1 species